UCCCCGCACCAGUGAGAAUGCCCUUAACAUCAGUUCAAAGAUCAAGAGGAGCAGGUAUUAAGCACACUAUUAAGUAGCUCAAGAUGCCUUGCUUAACCACACCCCCAAGGGAAACAGCAGUGAUAGAAAUUUAGCAAUAAACGAAAGUUUGACUAAGUUAUACUACUCAGGGUUGGUAAAUUUCGUGCCAGCCACCGCGGUCAUACGAUUAACCCAAAUUAAUAAACACUCGGCGUAAAGCGUGAUUUAGAAUCAAAUAUCAACUAAACUGUAAAAAGUAAUAGUUGCAAACAAAAAUUAACAACGAAAGUGGUUUUAUUAUCUUCGAAUUCACGAUAGCUAAGACCCAAACUGGGAUUAGAUACCCCACUAUGCUUAGCCCUAAACCUCGAUAAUUUCAUAACAAAAUUACCCGCCAGAGAACUACAAGCCAGAGCUUCAAACUCAAAGGACUUGGCGGUGCUUUAUACCCGCCUAGAGGAGCCUGUUCUAUAAUCGAUAAACCCCGAUAGACCUCACCACUCUUUGCCAACUCAGCCUAUAUACCGCCAUCUUCAGCGAACCCUAAAAAGGGACAAAAGUAAGCUCAAUUAUUUCCAUAAAAACGUUAGGUCAAGGUGUAGCCUAUAGAGUGGGAAGCAAUGGGCUACAUUUUCUAUAUCAGAAUACACGAAGACCCUGAUGAAACUCAAAGGGUUAAAGGAGGAUUU
rnacentral:rRNA from 1 species